CUCUUCAUGUUUUUAGAAGGCUUUUUAGUGGCGCUACGAAUUACUGAUUAAUAAAGACUGUAAUUAAAAUGAUAAUGAUCGAAAACUCGUUACACGGAUUAAUCGCGGUUCCUAGGUAAACGCGAUUUUGCUAACGGGCGGACAGGCGGGCAGUUUAGGCGAUUGUCCUAAAAGCAGGCGAGCAAUACAUAUUAGUGCAUAUUGGUGAAUAAUAGUGCUAGUCGCCCGCGUCAGAAACAAAAAUAUUUGUUUCGGCGCGAGCGAUAAUAUUGUUAUCGAUGUUAUCGGCCGCCUGUCCAUCCAAAUAGGACAUUCCACAUACAAAAUCUGUUUUGGAUUUUAUCGCUUUUCUAGUUGUUUUGCAUAGUUAAAUUGUAUUGUUUAUCGCUGAGGUAAAUAUUUUUAUGCGUCUCUUAAAUUAAAAAAAAAAUGUAUGGCGUCGCCCGCCCGUUCGCAAAAUCGCAUUCGCCUAGGAUAACACACCCCCUAUUGGCCCUUAUCACACACGACGGUUUCGUUCGCACGAUUUUUAUUUGACACAUAAAGCUAAUAGCGGUAACAGGACAGUAUACGGAAUUUUUUCCGUACGGCCGCCAUGAUACAAGCCGUGACGACGACUGAAAAGUACAUCUUAUCAGUUACCUACGUGACUAUAGACGCGCGUAUUCACGCUACACGGUUUUUAAUCGUCCGCGGCCCGUUGUCAGAACUACCAGAACCUGAAUCGAUUUCGCUUUAUAAUAGAAAUAAAACAAUGGAUAUCGGGCACAAAAAUUGAAAUCGUAAUCAGACGGACGAAACGGUCGUGUGGGAAAGGGGCCUACAAAAAUUGCAGUCGCGUAUGAAACUCCCACACUUAAAAACAGUUCACGAAAAGCGCGACUUUUGGACGCGGCGAAACCGACCACUGAGAGCGUCUGUGGCGUUUUGGAUCGGGGGGUGUGGUCGUGUGCGUGAAAACAUCCGUACGCGUUCGUAUUUUUGCCGGGUGGCUACGUGUGAAGGGGCCCUUAAUGUUCGCAGUCUUGUUGAAACAGUCUGAUCGGAAGAAAUAUGAGUGACACACGGAAAUUGUCGUACGUUCUAUACAUCAAAUUAAAUCGAUAUGUUAAAGCAAAAUAUUGUUAUCUGAUAAUAACGAUAUAAACAAGCCCACGCCUACGGUUUCGUUUUCGAUUUUGUGACAUGAAUUCCGUGUCCGUUCUCGUCGUACCCGUAUUUUGACUGCGUUUGCACCGUUACAAACAUAACUACAUUAUGGCGCUAAAAUACAAUAUUCCGUUUUGCGCCGUUCCGACGUGUGAUCAUUGUUCCCAGGCGAAUUACACCGGAAGGGACGGUGUAUCGUUUCACAGGUUUCCUACGGAUCAUAUUAAUCAAAAUUAUUCGGCCGAAAAAGGCAAACAAAUAGACAUUUGGAAUCCCAAUUCGUCCUAUGUAUGUUCAGAACAUUUUGAAUCGGAGGACUUUGUGAUUUGAACGUUGAACUCAUAGACUUUUAAUGAAUCAAUGACCCUCAAUGAAGAUGAAUCUCAGGAGAUCUCUGAAUUAUUGGCUGAUAUUGUUGAACAUUUAUUAGAUUAAGUAUAACAUUUAAGAAAUAUUUAUGAUAUAAUGUAUUUAAUAUACAAUGCAUUGUGUUAAAAAAAUA